GACAGAGGAUGCAAGCGUUAUCCGGAAUGAUUGGGCGUAAAGCGUCUGUAGGUGGCUUUUUAAGUCCGCCGUCAAAUCCCAGGGCUCAACCCUGGACAGGCGGUGGAAACUACCAAGCUGGAGUACGGUAGGGGAGACUGGAAUUCCUGGUGUAGCGGUGAAAUGCGCAGAUAUCGGGAGGAACACCGGUGGCGAAGGCGGUUCUGCUGGGCCUGUACUGACGCUGAGGAGCGAAAGCGUGGGGAGCGAACAG
rnacentral:rRNA from 1 species